UACGAAGGGGGCUAGCGUUGUUCGGAAUCACUGGGCGUAAAGCGCACGUAGGCGGAUCUUUAAGUCAGGGGUGAAAUCCCAAGGCUCAACCUUGGAACUGCCUUUGAUACUGGGGAUCUUGAGUCCGGGAGAGGUGGGUGGAACUGCGAGUGUAGAGGUGAAAUUCGUAGAUAUUCGCAAGAACACCGGUGGCGAAGGCGGCCCAACUGGCCCGGUAC
rnacentral:rRNA from 1 species